AGCGCGGUGGUCCCACCUGACCCCAUGCCGAACUCAGAAGUGAAACGCCGCAGCGCCGAUGGUAGUGUGGGGCCUCCCCAUGCGAGAGUAGGGA
rnacentral:rRNA from 1 species